rnacentral:rRNA from 1 species
UACGAGAGGCCCAAACGUUAUUCGGAAUUACUGGGCUUAAAGAGUUCGUAGGCGGCGCGGAAAGUAGGGUGUGAAAGCCCUCGGCUCAACCGAGGAAUUGCGCUCUAAACUACCGUGCUUGAGGAAGCUAGAGGUGAGCGGAACUGAUGGUGGAGCGGUGAAAUGCGUUGAUAUCAUCAGGAACACCGGAGGCGAAGGCGGCUCACUGGGGCUUUUCUGACGCUGAGGAACGAAAGCCAGGGGAGCGAACGGGAGUAGAAACCCCA